rnacentral:rRNA from 1 species
AUCUGGAAGCUAAAAAUACCUCUAAGAGUGAAGAUAUUUGUUUGGUUUUUAAGUAGAGGGGUCAUCUUAACUAGAGAUAAUCUGGCAUGAUGCAACUGGCAAGGUAGCAAGACAUGAGUCUUUUGCCAACAUAAAGAGUCUAUUAAGCACUUAUUUUUUAAGUGUAAGUUCGGUCAUGCAGGCUGGGCCAUAGUUCAAGUAGCUUCGAACUUAUAUCCCCCACGUAGUGCACGUAACAUAUUCGGUAAUUGGUUACAGGGUAUUGAUAAAUAA